CUUAUUUGAUUCAUUGUUUUUAUACAUAAAAAUCUUUCUCGGUGUGUAUUUGGGACUUUGGGGUGAUUGGGGAGUCCAAUGACCCAUUUAUUGUGUCUGACUUUCUAAUAAAUUGUAUAAUUUUAUUAAUAUCCUCCAGAAGAAGCUGGUGAUGCAGGCUGAGCCUGGAGUUAGGGGAGAUCCCAGUUCAAAUCCAAUCUCAGAUACUUCCUAAUUCUAUGAUCCUGGGCAAAUCCCUAUUGGCUCAAUUUCUUCAGCUGUGAAAUGGGGAUAAUAGAACCUUACACGCAUAUACAGAGAUGCGCUCUUGUUUCCUCUCAGGCUUUGAAAUGUAAGUUCUUUGCACACAUACUAAUACUUUUACAUGUCACACAAAUGUAUAUUAACUAAAUUUUUUCCUGGUGGUACAGGCUGUGAAAAUGCACUAUUUUCAACCGUUAGCUAGACAAGAAUGAAAAUUUAAUCACCGCAAAUCAAUCGACGUGGCAGCUCUUUGAGCUUGGCACUGGGUUCAGUACAACCUGAAGUCAGCCUCGCCCUGCCCCCACCCUCAAUCCUCGCAGGCCCUGUCACCGAGCCUUGCCUACUUACGCCUGAAAAACUACAAUUCCCAAGCAGGAACGAGCGACCUGCUCGUGAGUCCCCCGCCCCAGAACUACCUCACGCAGCAGAGGGCCAAGAGGCGGGAUUGUCGAUCUACGCUAGCGUCUCGCAAGUCCCUUCUCGUUCUGCGCAUGCGUUUUUCGAGUCACUUCCUCCUCCCUCCCUCUGUUAUCCGGUUUGACCUACUGUGGCCAGAGGAAAAAAAGAUGGCGGUGGCCGCUACCUCUGGGGCAGUCCAGCAGGUAAGAUCGGAAGGAACCUUGGAGGUCUAAGAGGCCAGCGUCCCUCAUUUUGCAGCUGAGCAAGAAACAAGCCUAGAAAGAUACGCCGAUUCACCACUUCAGUGGCCAGACCAUUUGCCAAACUUGUCAGGGUAUGUUUGUUUAAUUCCUCAGCUAUACUUGACUCUAAUCAAAAGUUUGUAACUGUUAACUGGACUGCAGUAUAAUACACUGAGUUAUAUUGAUUGGAUUUUGUCUAUAACCUUCUAUAUUAUAUUUGACACUUCAUAGACUGUAAUGUUCUUGAAGAAAAAAGUCACCCUGCUAGACAACUGCAAUUCAUAGGUAGAACCUAAUGGUUUUUCAACAAGUGUAUAGCAUUUUUCAAAUGUCUGAUUUUCAGUAUUUAUCUAUCAAAACAUCUGGGGUUUUGCAUGUUUAGUUUUAAAGUUUUUUACCACUCUGUCUUUUCCAUACACAAAUCCUGUUUACUCUCCAUAUUUUAAUUUUGCAAAUUCCCUAUUGAAUUUUUAAAGAAUUUGCCAAUCUUUGCCAUUGUUUAAUCUUUUUUAAAAUAUUAAGAGAAUUAUAGAUUCUGAGUUGGAAGGGACCUCAGAGUUUAUCUGGUUCAACUCAUACCUAAAAUGAAUUCCCUCUGCAACAUUCUCCAUUAAGUGAUCAUCCAUCCUUUGAGGGGAGAGCUCCCACUACCUCCUGAGAAGCCAAUUCCACUUUUCCAUAAUUAUAAUUACUACAAUGUAUUUCUGUAGAUGUAAAUAUAUAUUCCUUCUAAUUUCUCCUCAUUCCACCUACUUCUAUAUUUUGGGGCAAAACAGAUGAAGUAUAUUCCCUCUUCCCUGUGUCAGCUUUUCAAAUCAUCUUUAUUGCCCAGAAACUCUCAGUAAUGUGUAAUCUUAGAGAGUUCUUUAGGACACUGAGAGAUAAACUGAUUUGUCUAGGAUCAUACAGCCAAUGUGUGUCAGAGUCCACACCUGAAUCUUCUUGACUUUUAGUUUGAUUCUUCUUUCUAGGCCAGACGUCUCUAGUUCCUCCAACUGGUUCUCAAAGGAUAUUAUGGUUUAUCAUGAACAUCUAAUUUGAAUACCAUGCUUAAUAAGUGACCAGAAGAUAAAUAGGACAUAGAGUUAGGAUCAUUAUAUGAAAGGGGAGACUUUACAGGGCAGUGUCAUAAACUUGUUACAAAUAAUACUAUAAAAUAAAUCUAUCUGUAAAAAUAUUCA
ensembl:lncRNA